rnacentral:rRNA from 1 species
CCUACGGGAGGCAGCAGUGGGGAAUAUUGCACAAUGGGGGAAACCCUGAUGCAGCGACGCCGCGUGAGUGAAGAAGUAAUUCGUUAUGUAAAGCUCUAUCAGAAGGGAAGAAAAGGAAGGUACAUGAGUAAGAAGCCCAGGCUAACUACGUGCCAGCAGCCGCGGUAAUACGUAGGGGGCAAGCGUUAUCCGGAUUUACUGGGUUUAAAGGGAGCGUAGACGGCAGUGCAAGUCUGGAGGGAAAGGCGGGGGCUCAACCCCCGGAUUGCUCUUGAAACGGUACGGGUGGAGUGCAGUAGAGGUAAGUGGAAUUCCUAGUGUAGCGGUGAAAUGCGUAGAUAUUAGGAGGAACACCAGUGGCGAAGGCGGCUUACUGGACUGUAACUGACGUUGAGGCUCGAAAGCGUGGGGAGCAAACAGGAUUAGAUACCCGGGUAGUC